CACAAGCAAAAACUGCAUGUGCACCCACACUUGGAAUUGCCUUGUUGCAAAUCCCCUUUUUUUGUGCCUGGCUGCCCAGUGCACGGACAUUUUUGUGGGCACAUGGAGGGUGCAGCUGAGGCUGGUGGAAAAUUUGGCUCUGAUAAUUUCUUCUACAAGAAUUAUUUUGCACUGAUCCCUCCAUUUGUAGAUAGGAAGCAGACCAGGGGUUUUCCUAGAUGCUGCAUUUUAAAUUACUACUACAUCUUUCAAAAGACGACAAACGUGCAAUUUGACUACAAUAAAUAUGGCACAAUCUCUCUGUCAUUGUAAAUAGGCAUUGUGUGACCCCAAAAACCCUGAGAGGAGAGGUAUUCUUGCUGUGAAGGCUCUGGAUUAGGACACAGAAUAGCUGCUUUUAAUUCCCAGACAAUAACCUGGUAGUUAGGCCCGGGUUGUUUACAUUGGGAUCAGGCUGUACAGUGUCCUGUGAAAGGAAAAUGACACAUCUACCUCUGUUUGGAUGAGAACUGUAAGAAAAACAGAGUUGGCCAAAGGCAGCCCUGAUGUAACUGUGUUGAUCUCAGUGGAGAGACACCAGGGAUGAAUUUGAUUGGAUGUACAUUUCAGCACAGGGACCCAUCAGCAACAAGAAUGGAGCAGACAGGCAGAAAGACAGGGCAGUGUGACCCACACAAGUUUAUAUCACACGUCUCUAAUAUCAGGCGGUUGCAAUGUCUCAUCUUCUGCUCUUUCAGGAUCUCAAGAUCAACUUUACUUGAAUCACUGAAGCACCUAAACAUCAUCAAGAGACAUGGGCUUAACCUGGAAAAUUCACUUCUGGAUCCAGAACUGAGUACCCCCAAUGCUCAAAGGUGUUUUGAUCUUCGGUUUUGGUCUGAUCCAUCAGAGAGAUAAGGUCCAGCAGUGAAUUUUAGAGCUAGACCCAGCCUGAGUUCCAAAGUUCAGAGUUAUUAGGCCUUGGAUCAGUUAGUCCACACAAUCUGCAAUAUUUAUCUAACUGCCAACAACACUAUCUGAAAAGUCAGCUUGUUGCUUAUUCUUUGUGUCCCUCAGUUUGGUUCAAUUAAUUUUCUUUUUCUUUGCACAUUAGUAGGUGCAUCUAUUAUCCUUUUAUAUUGUGGUACCACUGGGCCCUGGGUCUUCGUGUUGGAUGUAAUCCCAUUUUACUGCUCCUUCUAUCUUCCCCCCACCUGUUUUUCUCCAUUCAUCCCUCUGUAAAUAAAUAUUUCCUUUC